GAUGAAGAACGUAGCGAAAUGCGAUAAGUAGUGUGAAUUGCAGAAUUCAGUGAAUCAUCGAAUCUUUGAACGCACAUUGCGCCCCUUGGUAUUCCAUGGGGCAUGCCUGUUCGAGCGUCAUUUGUACCCUCAAGCUAUGCUUGGUGUUGGGUGUUUGACCUCUCCUUUUGCGAUUGGACUCGCCUUAAAGACAUUGGCAGCCAGUGUAUUGGUCUUGAAGCGCAGCACAUUUUGCGAUUCUUGCUGAUAAUCACUAGCGUCCAGUAAGCCUAUUUUAACACUUUUGACCUCGGAUCAGGUAGGGAUACCCGCUGAACUUAAGCAUAUCAAUAAGCGGAGGA
rnacentral:misc_RNA from 1 species